rnacentral:rRNA from 1 species
ACGUUAGCGGCGGACGGGUGAGUAACACGUGGGUAACCUACCUAUAAGACUGGGAUAACUUCGGGAAACCGGAGCUAAUACCGGAUAAUAUUUCGAACCGCAUGGUUCGAUAGUGAAAGGUGGUUUUGCUAUCACUUAUAGAUGGACCCGCGCCGUAUUAGCUAGUUGGUAAGGUAACGGCUUACCAAGGCGACGAUACGUAGCCGACCUGAGAGGAUGAUCGGCCACACUGGAACUGAGACACGGUCCAGACUCCUACGGGAGGCAGCAGGC